CCUACGGGUGGCAGCAGUGAGGAAUAUUGGUCAAUGGUCGUGAGACUGAACCAGCCAAGCCGCGUGAGGGAGGAAGGUACAGAGGAUCGUAAACCUCUUUUGUCAGGGAAUAAAGGCGGGGACGUGUCCCCGGAUGAGUGUACCUGAUGAAAAAGGAUCGGCUAACUCCGUGCCAGCAGCCGCGGUAAUACGGAGGAUGCGAGCGUUAUCCGGAUUUAUUGGGUUUAAAGGGUGCGGAGGCGGUCUUUUAAGUCAGCGGUGAAAGUCCGGGGCUCAACCACGGGAGUGCCGUUGAAACUGGGAGUCUCGAGUUGGUUUGAGGCAGGCGGAAUGCGCGGUGUAGCGGUGAAAUGCAUAGAUAUCACGCAGAACCCCGAUUGCGAAGGCAGCCUGCCAAGCCCUGACUGACGCUGAAGCACGAAAGCGUGGGUAUCGAACAGGAUUAGAUACCCUUGUAGUC
rnacentral:rRNA from 1 species